GACGAACGCUGGCGGCGUGCUUAACACAUGCAAGUCGAACGGAAAGGCCCUGCUUUUGUGAGGUGCUCGAGUGGCGAACGGGUGAGUAACACGUGAGUAACCUGCCCUUGACUUUGGGAUAACUUCAGGAAACUGGGGCUAAUACCGGAUAGGAGCUCCUGCUGCAUGGUGGGGGUUGGAAAGUUUCGGCGGUUGGGGAUGGACUCGCGGCUUAUCAGCUUGUUGGUGGGGUAGUGGCUUACCAAGGCUUUGAUGGGUAGCCGGCCUGAGAGGGUGACCGGCCACAUUGGGACUGAGAUACGGCCCAGACUCCUACGGGAGGCAGCAGUGGGGAAUAUUGCACAAUGGGCGGAAGCCUGAUGCAGCAACGCCGCGUGCGGGAUGACGGCCUUCGGGUUGUAAACCGCUUUCGCCUGUGACGAAGCGUGAGUGACGGUAAUGGGUAAAGAAGCACCGGCUAACUACGUG
rnacentral:rRNA from 1 species